rnacentral:rRNA from 1 species
UACGGAGGAUGCGAGCGUUAUCCGGAUUUAUUGGGUUUAAAGGGUGCGCAGGCGGACGCUCAAGUCAGCGGUAAAAUUGCGGGGCUCAACCCCGUCGAGCCGUUGAAACUGGGUGUCUUGAGUGAGCGAGAAGUAUGCGGAAUGCGUGGUGUAGCGGUGAAAUGCAUAGAUAUCACGCAGAACUCCGAUUGCGAAGGCAGCAUACCGGCGCUCAACUGACGCUCAUGCACGAAAGCGUGGGUAUCGAA